GGCGGUAGUUAUGAAUUGACUGGCCGACGUUAUCGGAAGAGAGAUUGACGUAUGUACUGAAGUCUUGGAGAAAUUAGCCAAAAGGUAAACCAUGUGACAGACAGCAAUAUCUUCCAUCGUCAUGGAGACGGUCCUGGUUCUGGAGUUUUCUGAGCAAGUCCCUUGUCUUCACCAGAAAUGCCACUUUUUUGAUAGAGCGAUGAAGAUUACACCUUGUUCACACCUUGUUCAGACUCCGUCUGAUCAGAGGGGACACUGGCCCUGCUGGAUGCCAGAGACUUCUGCCCGGGGUUUUGUUGUUAGAGCUGAAGAGACGAUAUUGAUAAAUACGGAAUGAAGCGAUUGGAUGAUCUUCAUUCGGCCCAAACGCCCAUGGACAAGCUUCGUUGACAAAGGUCACACGACAAG